rnacentral:rRNA from 1 species
UGAGUAACGCGUGAGCAACCUGUCCCUUACAGGGGGGAUAACACGAGCGAAAGUUGUACUAAUACCGCAUAAGACCACAGAGUGACAUCGCUCAGGGGUCAAAGGAGCAAUCCGGUAAGGGGUGGGCUCGCGUCCGAUUAGAUAGUUGGUGAGGUAACGGCCCACCAAGUCGACGAUCGGUAGCCGACCUGAGAGGGUGAUCGGCCACAUUGGGACUGAGACACGGCCCAAACUCCUACGGGAGGCAGCAGUGGGGAAUAUUGGGCAAUGGGGGAAACCCUGACCCAGCAACGCCGCGUGAGGGAAGAAGGUUUUCGGAUCGUAAACCUCUGUCCCAGGUGAAGAGGAAGAGACGGUAGCCUGGGAGGAACGCCCCGGCUAACUACGUGCCAGCAGCCGC